rnacentral:rRNA from 1 species
UACGUAGGGCGCAAGCGUUAUCCGGAAUUAUUGGGCGUAAAGAGCUCGUAGGCGGUUUGUCGCGUCUGCCGUGAAAGUCCGGGGCUCAACUCCGGAUCUGCGGUGGGUACGGGCAGACUAGAGUGAUGUAGGGGAGACUGGAAUUCCUGGUGUAGCGGUGAAAUGCGCAGAUAUCAGGAGGAACACCGAUGGCGAAGGCAGGUCUCUGGGCGAUUAACUGACGUGAGGAGCGAAAGCAUGGGGGAGCGAACAGG